rnacentral:lncRNA from 1 species
UGAAGUCAAAGUGCAAAAAAGAAAAAGUUCGACCAUGUAGGACCGCUCAGUCAACAGUCUCGACGAAUCGGAGCAUGUCGCGUGGCAAGGCACGCUGACGUCGGUGCCACACGGGCAAUCUGCAUGCCCCGUGAUCGAACGGCCCAAGAUCAAUCCCGUGCGCGUGGACAACCCAGAUUCGUUUUUCCUUUAUAUACGAUUGGACGGCAGAGAUCAAUAUAAAUGAACAAUACAAAUUCGUUUCCUCAUUAGAGAUGAUCAAACGGACGAGAUCGAUCGCGAUGGACAGCCCAGAUCAACGCGGGAUAGGUAUAAAUUCUUCACGUCACAUGGGAACCCAAACCCUAGCUGCUAACCCCAUUCGAAGAAUAAGAACCAGAUGCUUGAGAAUGAGUAUGAUCACUGACCGUCGUGGUAGUAGAGCCACCAUCGGCCACCAAAAAAAGUAAAAAUUCUCUCUACUCGCUCGCAAUUCGAUUCUGAGCCCCUUGAGGCCAAAUCGGAUCA